AUUGUUUCUCAGCCUUUUGGCUAAAAUCAAGUGUAGUGUCUGUUAUCAGUUUAAUAUACGAUGUAUGUUCUAUCCAAGGAGAGUAUGUUACAUGGAUUUUUGGAGCUAAGAGAUAGAAUAGAAGCAGUUUCUGUCCACUCCAUGCCAUCAACCUGGUAUCGCAGUUCCUCCACGAACAGUGCACCAUCU
ensembl:snRNA U2 U2 spliceosomal RNA